UACGGAGGGUGCAAGCGUUAUCCGGAUUCACUGGGUUUAAAGGGUGCGUAGGUGGGCAAGUAAGUCAGUGGUGAAAUCUCCGGGCUUAACCCGGAAACUGCCAUUGAUACUAUUUGUCUUGAAUACUGUGGAGGUCAGCGGAAUAUGUCAUGUAGCGGUGAAAUGCUUAGAUAUGACAUAGAACACCAAUUGCGAAGGCAGCUGGCUACACAAAUAUUGACACUGAGGCACGAAAGCGUGGGGAACAAACAGG
rnacentral:rRNA from 1 species